rnacentral:rRNA from 1 species
GCGUGAAUCUGCCGGGACCAUCCGGUAAGGCUAAAUACUCCCGAGAGACCGAUAGCGAACCAGUACCGUGAGGGAAAGGUGAAAAGCACUUCGAACAGAAGAGUGAAAUAGUUCCUGAAACCGUGCGCCUACAAGCGGUCGGAGCUCGUUAAUGAGUGACGGCGUGCCUUUUGCAUAAUGAACCUACGAGUUGCCUUUGCCGGCAAGGUUAAGUGUGACGACACACGUAUCCGAAGCGAAAGCGAGUCUGAAUAGGGCGUAUAGUCGGCAGUGGCAGACGCGAAACCAAGUGAUCUACCCUUGGCCAGGUUGAAGGCUGGGUAACACCAGCUGGAGGACCGCACCAAUAAGCGUUGAAAAGCUUCUGGAUGAGCUGAGGGUAGGGGUGAAAGGCUAAUCAAACUUGGAGAUAGCUCGUACUCCCCGAAAUGCAUUUAGGUGCAGCCUCGCGGGUUACUGAUGUGAGGUAGAGCGACUGAUUGGAUGCGAGGGCUUCACCGCCUAUCAAGUCCUGACAAACUCCGAAUGCGCAUCAGUUUUACCGCGGGAGUGAGGGCAUGGGUGCUAAGGUCCGUGCCCGAGAGGAGAAGAAUCCGGACUAUCAGCUAAGGCCCCGAAAUGACAGCUAAGUUAAACUAACGAAGUCUGAUUGCUAAGACAGCUAGGAUGUUGGCUUGGAAGCAGCCAUUCAUUUAAAGAGUGCGUAACAGCUCACUAGUCGAGGAAUCGGGCGUGGAUAAUAAUCGGGUAUGAAGUUGUCUGCCGAAGCUAUAGAAUCAGCAAUGAUUGGUAGGGGAGCAUUCCAUUCGGCGUUGAAGGCGUGGCGUGAGCCAUUCUGGAGCGUAUGGAAAAGCAAAUGUAGGUAUAAGUAACGAUAAAGGGGGUGAGAAACCCCCUCGCCGAAAGACUAAGGUUUCCUGAUCAACGCUAAUCGGAUCAGGGUCAGUCGGGUCCUAAGGCUCAGCCGAACGGCGAUGCCGAUGGCAGAAACGGUUAAUAUUCCGUUACUACCUUCAGGAGUGACGUGGAGACGCAGUAGUGACAGUGCCGCCAUCUGACGGAAUAGAUGGUUGAAGGGUGUAGGAGUCGAUCAUGGCAGGCAAAUCCACCAUGAGAUCCGAACCUGAUAGUAUGCCGCGUCCUUCGGGACAAGGCAAUAGUGCGCGUAAGCAUGCUGCCGAGAAAAUCCGCUAAACUUAAUCCUGCAGGUACCCGUACCGCAAACGGACACACGUAGUCGGGAUGAAUAUUCUAAGGCGCUUGAGUGAUUCACGGUUAAGGAACUAGGCAAACUGACCCUGUAACUUCGGGAUAAAGGGUCCCUACCCUUUUAUGGGAGGGCGCAGAGAAUCGGUCCAGGCAACUGUUUAACAAAAACACAGGGCUGUGCCAAAUCGAAAGAUCCAGUAUACAGCCUGACACCUGCCCGGUGCUGGAAGGUUAAGAGGAGAUGUCAUCGAUGAGAGAAGCGUUGAAUUGAAGCCCCAGUAAACGGCGGCCGUAACUAUAACGGUCCUAAGGUAGCGAAAUUCCUUGUCGGGUAAGUUCCGACCUGCACGAA